CGCUAGCGGCGCGCUUAAUGCAUGUAAGUCGAGCGAUGAGGCCCUCUUCGGGGGGUACAUCAGCGGCAGACGGGUGAGUAGCACGUAGGUGAUCUACCCCAGAGACGGGGAUAACGGACGGAAACGUCCGCUAAUACCGGAUGACCUUGUCAGGUCAAAGCGACAAGGAAAGGCUCCGGCGCUCUGGGAGGAGCCUGCGGCCCAUCAGCUAGUUGGCGGGGUAAAGGCCCACCAAGGCGAAGACGGGUAGGGGGUGUGAGAGCAUGGNCCCCCACAAUGGGACUGAAACACGGCCCAUACUCCUACGGGAGGCAGCAGCAGGGAAUAUUGCACAAUGGACGGAAGUCUGAUGCAGCGACGCCGCGUGGAUGAUGAAGGCCCUCGGGUUGUAAAAUCCUUUACAAGGGGACGAGGAAGGACGGUACCCUUGGAACAAGUGUCGGCUAACUACGUGCCAGCAGCCGCGGUAAGACGUAGGACACAAGCGUUAUCCGGAUUUACUGGGCGUAAAGCGUCUGCAGGCGGACAGGUACGUUGGGCGUGAAAGCUCCGGGCCCAACCCGGAGAGGUCGUUCAAUACUGCGUGUCUAGAGGGU
rnacentral:rRNA from 1 species